UAAUUCACGCAUGCGCAGUAUCAACAGGUCGCGAUCACAGUUCUCUCAGCACAACAUGUCAGUUCAGUGUACAGGAGUUACAUAUAACUCCGGGAUAUUAGUUUAUUUAGAGUCGGACCGACUGUCAGACGACCGAAAGUGUGUAACUUUAGUAACUUGUGGAUCAGCGCUGACUCAAGAACGAAUCAGUCACUAAAAAGAACCGGUUCAAAAGAACGAUUCGUUCACGACCUGGCCAUCACUAUUGGAGAGGUCACGCUUGUCUGUCUUCAAAACGCCACAGCCCUGGUCAUGAAUACGGAGACGAUUUAAUCACACAUUGAACAUUCAGUAAGUAACCUUCGACCCAGCGUCUUUUUUCUUAAGAGCUGCUGGUGGUACACAACUGGUGAAAAUUUCUGGAUGUGAUCAGAAGACACCAACACAAUGGAAAAAGUUUCUAUCAGACGGAACAAACAAAGGGAGACUGGCAGAACUCCUCUAUCCUGCGUGGUGAGAUGCUGAUCUUACCACUGUGGGCAAGGACUUAAGCUUGUACAUCGCACAUGGAGACCUGUGUGACCGUAAUGCACCGUAUAUACUAACUCUCAGUGCCGUCGAUGAUCUGACAUGUGAUCAUUAGGAAUGUGACACCAGGCUGUUUUUACAUGCACAACAUGCUGCCAAUGAACAUCAAACUGUAGUCAUCAAGAGCCCUGAUACUGAUGUGGCAGUGAUUUGCUUUAAGUCUGCAGCCAGAUUUACCGUGUAGGUCGUAUCUUUUCACAAGGUGUCAUCAGCUUGGCACCAGGGUGUUUUGGCCCUUAUUGGGAUCCAUACCUUUUCAGCUUGUUACUCUACAAGUGCCUUUUAUGGCAUUUUCUGAUUUCAUAUUUUAAGCUUAUUUUUCGUUGUAAUGAAUCUGUUGUUAAUUUUUUGCCUUAUUCGUAAUGGGGGGGGGGUCGCAUUUUGAGUGAUUUCAGAAAACUUGGGACAAAGUGUGCUGCUUGUUUAUGUUUCUGUGAUUACACAAUGCCUACUGAAAAUGUUGAUGUAUAAUACAUCAGUGUGUAUGUUUAAUUUUGUUUGGUGCCAAAUCCAUGAAAUUAACACAUUUCCUACAAAUUUUAUUCUAUGGUCUACAUUCACACCUGAGUGUUUAAUGCACCAAUACAUUUCUCAGAUUGAGAGAGAUUCGAUGUUGCUAAAAUGAAAAUAAAUAAAGUUAUAAGCAAAACCAGCAGCAUUAAGCAUAA